UUAUCUCUGUAGAGUCUGCAUAUCAAUAAGCGGAGGAAAAGAAACUAACAAGGAUUCCCCUAGUAACGGCGAGUGAAGCGGGAAGAGCUCAAAUUUGAAAUCUUCAAGGUUUGACCUUGACGAAUUGUAGUUUAAAGAAGUGUUUUCGGUUAGAGGAGUAGUAAAAGUUCUUUGGAAUAGGACAUCAUAGAGGGUGAGAAUCCCGUAUUUGACUAUUCUUUCUAGCUUUGUGAUACACUUUCAAAGAGUCGGAUUGUUUGGGAAUGCAGUCCAAAAUGGGUGGUAAAUUUCAUCUAAAGCUAAAUAUUGGCGAGAGACCGAUAGCGAACAAGUACCGUGAGGGAAAGAUGAAAAGAACUUUGAAAAGAGAGUUAAACAGUACGUGAAAUUGUCAAAAGGGAAGCGUUUGACACCAGUGUUGUUUUUCCGAAAAUCAAUUAAAAAUUGAUUCAUGCCAGGUUGUAUUGACCUUAUCAGCUUGCAAUUUGGUUUUGGGUCUCUUUUUGAUGCACUUUUCGGUUAACAAGUCAACAUCAAUUUCCUUUGCUGUAAAAAGGUAAGAGGAAGGUGGCUUCAAUUUCGGUUGAAGUGUUUAUAGCCUUUUAUCUCUGCAGUCGGGGAGAUUGAGGUCUGCAGCGUAGAUCCUUCGGGGCUAGAUACAUUUAUGCUAAGUUAUAGCUUUUCAUAGACAACUUGUUGACUAUGUUUAGUCAUGUAGCUUACUCGUAAGUGCUAUUUUACCUACGCUUAGGAUGUUGAAGACUCUACAGAGAUA
rnacentral:rRNA from 1 species